rnacentral:rRNA from 1 species
UACGUAGGGGGCAAGCGUUGUCCGGAUUUAUUGGGCGUAAAGCGCUCGCAGGUGGUUCGUCGCGUCGUGCGUGAAAGACCCCGGCUCAACUGGGGAGUGUCGUGCGAUACGGGCGGACUAGAGGCCAGUAGGGGGAUGCGGAAUUCCGGGUGUAGUGGUGGAAUGCGUAGAGAUCCGGAGGAACACCAGCGGCGAAGGCGGCAUCCUGGACUGGUCCUGACACUCAGGAGCGAAAGCGUGGGGAGCGAUCCGG